CCGUCUGUACCGUGAGCUUGGGUUGGCCACAUCAAAGGCUAGGAGUUUCCAAUUUGAGUGGAAAAAGUAUGACACUUCACAUUAGAGAUUGAGGAUUCGAAUGGACACAAAAUAUCUGCCAAAACAUGAAUCAAGAAAACUAAACUGAUUCAACAACACUUGUCUGUAGCGUGAGCUAGGGUUGGCCACAUACAAAGGCUAGGAGUGUCCAAUUUGAUUGGAAAAAGUAUGAGAGUUCACAUUAGAGAUUGAGGAUUCGAAUGGACACAAAAUAUCUGCCAAAACAAGAAUCAAGAAAACUAAACUGAUUCAACAACACUUGUCUGUACCGUGAGCUAGGGUUGGCCACACAAAAGGCUAGGAGUGUCCAAUUUGAUUGGAAAAAGUAUGAGAGUUCAC
rnacentral:lncRNA from 1 species